UUCCCACCUCGGUCUCCUCCUC
rnacentral:miRNA from 1 species